rnacentral:lncRNA from 1 species
GAUUUUAUUUUAGACAGGAUAUAGUGAUGGUUAACCUAACUCCUAGUCUGUCAUUUCAGUAGACAUUCAUUGGAUACCUACAAUUUGAAAGGGCUAAAUUUAAGCGUUGAGAUGAGAAGAUGAAGGAGCUGGGUGGAGGCCAGAGUGGAGGCCUCUGGCUACUGGUGUACCUGUAAACAGUUCAUACGAUGUAGUGCCUGUUAGAAGGAAGCAUAUUCAAGGAAUUCUGGGAACCUUGUGUUUUCAGCUUUAAUUUCUGUAAUUCUCUUAUGCCUUCUGAUAAGCAUGAUAUAACUGUGCUCAUAAUGUCCCAAGACACAAGGGUGUUUUAGAUAGGAAACAGGUUUAUGAACAUCAGUGGGGAUUCAGUUGUUACCCAAAAGAGAGAGGGAACAGGAAGAGAUGAUAUUA